CACGUAGGGUCCGAGCGUUGUCCGGAAUUACUGGGCGUAAAGCGCGCGCAGGCGGUCGGGUCAGUCGCUGGUGAAAGCCCCACGCUCAACGUGGGAAGGUCCGGCGAGACGGCCCGACUGGAGGCAGGGAGAGGUCGGUGGAAUUCCGGGUGUAGUGGUGAAAUGCGUAGAGAUCCGGAGGAACACCAGAGGCGAAGGCGGCCGACUGGACCUGACCUGACGCUGAGGCGCGAAGGCGUGGGGAGCGAACGGG
rnacentral:rRNA from 1 species